GAGGUCUUAGCUUAAUUAAAGUGUCUGAGUUGCAUUCAGGAGAUGUAUCGUUUAGUUUACAGGCCUU
rnacentral:tRNA from 1 species